UACGGGAGGCAGCAGUGGGGAAUAUUGCACAAUGGGCGCAAGCCUGAUGCAGCCAUGCCGCGUGUAUGAAGAAGGCCUUCGGGUUGUAAAGUACUUUCAGUCGUGAGGAAGGUGUUAAGGUUAAUAACCUUAGCAAUUGACGUUAGCGACAGAAGAAGCACCAGCUAACUCCGUGCCAGCAGCCGCGGUAAUACGGAGGGUGCGAGCGUUAAUCGGAAUUACUGGGCGUAAAGGGCACGCAGGCGGUUAAUUAAGUUGGAUGUGAAAUCCCCGGGCUUAACCUGGGAAUGGCAUUCAAGACUGGUUAGCUAGAGUCUUGUAGAGGGGGUAGAAUUCCAUGUGUAGCGGUGAAAUGCGUAGAGAUGUGGAGGAAUACCGGUGGCGAAGGCGGCCCCUGGACAAAGACUGACGCUCAUGUGCGAAAGCGUGGGGAGCAAACAGGGAUUAGAUACC
rnacentral:rRNA from 1 species